rnacentral:rRNA from 1 species
CGUGCUUAACACAUGCAAGUCUACGAGAAAGUUUCUUUCGGGAAGCAAGUAAAGUGGCGCACGGGUGAGUAACACGUAAGCAAUCUACCUUUAGGUUUGGAAUAACUCCGAGAAAUCGGGGCUAAUACCAGAUGAUGCAGUGAUACCGCAUGGUAAUGCUGUUAAAGUCUAUAUGGCACCUAAAGACGAGCUUGCGUCUGAUUAGCUUGUUGGUAAGGUAAUGGCUUACCAAGGCAACGAUCAGUAGCUGGUCUGAGAGGAUGAUCAGCCACACUGGAACUGAGACACGGUCCAGACUCCUACGGGAGGCAGCAGUGAGGAAUAUUGGGCAAUGGGCGAAAGCCUGACCCAGCAACGCCGCGUGGAGGAUGAAUGUCGUAAGAUUGUAAACUCCUGUUAGAGGGGACGAAUAAUCCCGAUCGACUCGGGACAUGACUGUACCCUCAGAGAAAGCUCCGGCUAACUACGUG